AAGUCGUAACAAGGUAACCGUAGGUGAACCUGCGGUUGGAUCAUUAAAAAGAUCUAGCCUGAAUUUGAUGCUUGCACUUAUUCAGGUUACUCACCAACGUGAGUAAACAUCAUGUGAACUGUUUUGUCUCUGGCGGUGGGAUGGCUAAAAACCAUCUGUCAGCAUCCGAGGUAACCUCGGUGUGCCGUGGACAAGCCGCCAACCACUUGCUUGAACCAAACUUGCUUUUUUUUAUCGUCUGACAUUUUAUUUGUAUGAAAUAUACAAACAACUUUUGGCAACGGAUCUCUUGGCUCUC
rnacentral:misc_RNA from 1 species